GACGAACGCUGGCGGCGUGCUUAACACAUGCAAGUCGAGCGGUAAGGCCCUUUCGGGGUACGACGAGCGGCGAACGGGUGAGUAACACGUGGGUGACCUGCCCUUAGCUCUGGGAUAAGCCUGGGAAACUGGGUCUAAUACCGGAUAUGACCUCAUGACUCAUGUUGUGGGGUGGAAAGCCUUGUGCGGCUAGGGAUGGGCCCGCGGUCUAUCAGCUUGUUGGUGGGGUAAUUGCCUACCAAGGCGACGACGGGUAGCCGGCCUGAGAGGGCGACCGGCCACACUGGGACUGAGACACGGCCCAGACUCCUACGGGAGGCAGCAGUGGGGAAUCUUGCGCAAUGGGCGAAAGCCUGAACGCAGCGACGCCGCGUGAGGGAUGACGGCCU
rnacentral:rRNA from 1 species